rnacentral:tRNA from 1 species
GAGUCGGUGGUUGAAUGUUAGAAUGUUUGCCUGCCAUGCAGAAGUUCCGAGUUGGCUUCUUGGUCGACGCA